rnacentral:rRNA from 1 species
GAUGAACACUAGCGGCAGGCCUAAUACAUGCAAGUCGAACGGUGUCUUCGGACAUAGUGGCGCACGGGUGCGUAACACGUAUGCAACCUACCUUACAUUGGGGGAUAGCCUUUCGAAAGGGAGAUUAAUACCGCAUAAGACAGUAGCUGGGCAUCAAGCAGCUGUUAAAGAUUUAUCGAUGUAAGCUGGGCAUGCGUCCAAUUAGCUAGUUGGUGAGGUAACGGCUCACCAAGGCAAUGAUUGGUAGGGGAACUGAGAGGUCAAUCCCCCACACUGGCACUGAGAUACGGGCCAGACUCCUACGGGAGGCAGCAGUAGGGAAUAUUGGGCAAUGGACGCAAGUCUGACGCAGCCAUGCCGCGUGCAGGAUGAAGGCGUUAUGCGUUGUAAACUGCUUUUAUACAGGAAGAAACGACUCUUGCGAGAGGCAUUGACGGUACUGUAUGAAUAAGCACCGGCUAACUCCGUGCCAGCAGCCGCAGUAA